CCGCCCUCGCCCCCAAACUUGUAGCUUUGUGGAUGGAGGGUGUGGGGGAGGCCGUGUGUAGUGAAAGGACCACCCGGCUGAAGACGGUCCUGGGGGUGGAGGGCAGGAGGGAGCGAGAAGGACAGUUCUGCUCCUGGGAGCCUCUCGUUCCUGGGCGAGGGUCUGGGGACCCUGGAUGAAGUUUUAGGAUCUUUUACAAUGACGGUCUGGGGCAGAGAAUAAAAUUUUGCAGGGAGCAGAUUGAGGGUCUGGAGGACUGGGUUAGGUGGGCUCUAGGUACCCAGGACGAUCUCGGGAGGCGCACAAUGAGAAUCUGGGGGCUCCAGGAUUACGGUGUGGGUGCACAGGAUGAAAUUCUGGGGGCGCAGAUUAGGUAGGACCUAGGUGAGCAGGAUGACAUUUUUGGUGAGCGUCUGGGGGCCCCCGGGUGAGUCUGGGGGCCUGGCAUCAAGGUCGGGGCCCCAGGAUCGAGCACUGGGGGACCCUGGUCCGGCGCCGGGAGGCGGCUCCUGGCGGCGCC
rnacentral:lncRNA from 1 species